AAACCAACAGGGAUUGCCUCAGUAACGGCGAGUGAAGCGGCAACAGCUCAAAUUUGAAAUCUGGCCCCAGGCCCGAGUUGUAAUUUGCAGAGGAUGCUUUUGGCGAGGUGCCUUCCGAGUUCCCUGGAACGGGACGCCAUAGAGGGUGAGAGCCCCGUACGGUUGGACACCAAGUCUUUGUAAAGCUCCUUCGACGAGUCGAGUAGUUUGGGAAUGCUGCUCAAAAUGGGAGGUAUAUUUCUUCUAAAGCUAAAUAUUGGCCAGAGACCGAUAGCGCACAAGUAGAGUGAUCGAAAGAUGAAAAGCACUUUGAAAAGAGGGUUAAACAGCACGUGAAAUUGUUAAAAGGGAAGCGCUUAUGACCAGACUUGCGCCCGGUGAAUCACCCAGCUCUCGCGGCUGGGGCACUUUGCCGGCUCAGGCCAGCAUCAGCUCGCUGUCGGGGACAAAAGCUUCGGGAACGUAGCUCUCUUCGGGGAGUGUUAUAGCCCGUUGCAUAAUACCCUUCGGCGGGCUGAGGUACGCGCUCCGCAAGGAUGCUGGCGUAAUGGUCAUCAGCGAC
rnacentral:rRNA from 1 species